UAAAAAACACUCACUUCCUCUCCCGUCCGCUCCCCUGGCAGUUCCAUCACUCCCCUGCCCGCGAGGCGCGAGCGCUUGUCCCCAACGGCUGGCGGCGGCGCUCUUCCCUUUGCCCCUUUCCCCCGACGCGCCCCAUCCCCAGCGGCCGGCCCUAGCCGGCCUGCCCGCCUGGCCGCCUCCCACCAAGGCACUGUCUAGGCGCCCAGCCAGCCACGGCCCAUGGCCGGACCGAACCUAGCUCCGCCCAGACGCCCCAGCGGCCAGCGCUGCAGCAUUUUUUGAUGAAAAAGCAUGCUUCCCGACUUCACAGUGCCUACUCCAAGCAUGGUGGCUUGGCAUCUUGCAGUUUCUUCAGAUAUCCUUCGGCCAAUACAGGAUUCCUCAAAGGAAGAGAUUCCUCUUCAAGAAAUGCAUCACCCACCCAAUGUGCCAUCAAAAAGGACUACCUUUUCAAACAUUUCACUGAUAGCAGCUAUUUUUGCACGAAGAUUCUUAAUUGACCUACCAGUGAUGCGAAUUCCAACUACAGCCUCGACAGCAUUAUUGAUUAUACUGCAUUUGUAACCUUAGUUACACCAUCUCUUCCAUGAACCAGAUCAGUGAAUAUACCAGGUCUUGGUUCAUAA